GUGUCAGCCGCCGCGGUAAUACGUAGGGUGCAAGCGUUAUCCGGAAUUAUUGGGCGUAAAGGGCUCGUAGGCGGUUCGUCGCGUCCGGUGUGAAAGUCCAUCGCUUAACGGUGGAUCCGCGCCGGGUACGGGCGGGCUUGAGUGCGGUAGGGGAGACUGGAAUUCCCGGUGUAACGGUGGAAUGUGUAGAUAUCGGGAAGAACACCAAUGGCGAAGGCAGGUCUCUGGGCCGUCACUGACGCUGAGGAGCGAAAGCGUGGGGAGCGAACAGGAUUAGAUACCCUGGUAGUCCACGCCGUAAACGGUGGAUGCUGGAUGUGGGGACCAUUCCACGGUCUCCGUGUCGGAGCCAACGCGUUAAGCAUCCCGCCUGGGGAGUACGGCCGCAAGGCUAAAACUCAAAUGAAUUGACGG
rnacentral:rRNA from 1 species